CCCCUCUCAGGUCGCACCUGGAGAGUUUCCAGUACUCUACCAGCCUCGACUAUAGGAGGGAGAGUCAAGUAGAGGACUACUCAUUCCAUUUCAAGCUUGGGUAGUGGCUAGAGAGUGGAAGGCAAUCUGCUACAAGU
rnacentral:snoRNA from 1 species